rnacentral:rRNA from 1 species
AACUGAACCUUCGGGGAACGUUAAGGGCGGCGAGCGGCGGACGGGUGAGUAAUGCCUGGGAAUAUGCCCUGAUGUGGGGGAUAACUAUUGGAAACGAUAGCUAAUACCGCAUAAUCUCUUCGGAGCAAAGAGGGGGACCUUCGGGCCUCUCGCGUCAGGAUUAGCCCAGGUGGGAUUAGCUUGUUGGUGAGGUAAUGGCUCACCAAGGCAACGAUCCCUAGCUGGUCUGAGAGGAUGAUCAGCCACACUGGAACUGAGACACGGUCCAGACUCCUACGGGAGGCAGCAGUGGGGAAUAUUGCACAAUGGGGGAAACCCUGAUGCAGCCAUGCCGCGUGUGUGAAGAAGGCCUUCGGGUUGUAAAGCACUUUCAGUAGGGAGGAAGGUAGUGUAGUUAACACCUGCAUUAUUUGACGUUACCUACAGAAGAAGCACCGGCUAACUCCGUGCCAGCAGCCGCGGUAAUACGGAGGGUGCGAGCGUUAAUCGGAAUUACUGGGCGUAAAGCGCAUGCAGGCGGCCUGUUAAGUCAGAUGUGAAAGCCCGGGGCUUAACCUCGGAAUUGCAUUUGAAACUGGCAGGCUAGAGUCUUGUAGAGGGGGGUAGAAUUUCAGGUGUAGCGGUGAAAUGCGUAGAGAU